rnacentral:tRNA from 1 species
GCCCGUGUAGCUCAGCCGGUAGAGCAGCGCACUCGUAACGCAGAUGCAGGUUCGAUUCCUGUCUCGGGCACCA